AACGAACGCUGGCGGCAGGCUUAACACAUGCAAGUCGAACGCCCCGCAAGGGGAGUGGCAGACGGGUGAGUAACGCGUGGGAAUCUACCCAGUUCUACGGAACAACACAGGGAAACUUGUGCUAACACCGUAUACGCCCUACGGGGGAAAGAUUUAUCGGAAUUGGAUGAGCCCGCGUUGGAUUAGCUAGUUGGUGGGGGAAUGGCCUACCAAGGCGACGAUCCAUAGCUGGUCUGAGAGGAUGAUCAGCCACACUGGGACUGAGACACGGCCCAGACUCCUACGGGAGGCAGCAGUGGGGAAUAUUGGACAAUGGGCGCAAGCCUGAUCCAGCCAUGCCGCGUGAGUGAUGAAGGCCUUAGGGUUGUAAAGCUCUUUCAGUGGGGACGGUAAUGACGGUACCCACAGAAGAAGCCCCGGCUAACUUCGUGCCAGCAGCCGCGGUAAAAC
rnacentral:rRNA from 1 species